rnacentral:tRNA from 1 species
AAAUUUAGGUUACACUUUAAACCCAGGACCUUCAWAGCCCUAAACAGGGACUAUAACCCCUAAUUUCUG